rnacentral:rRNA from 1 species
AGUAGUAGUAAAUAACAAAACUCUUAAAACUUGGCGGUUACUAUAAAUUAAAGAAACUCGUUUUUUAAUCGAUAAUACCCGAUAAAUUUCACUUCAAUCAACUUAUAUACCGCCGUUUCAGAACUUUUAAUAAAAAAUAUUCAAAUUCAAUAAACUUCAAAAAUCAGGUCAAGGUGUAGUUAAUAUUUUAGAAAAAAUAAGUUACAAAUAAUUUUGAAUUAAGGAAAAUAAAAUUAAAAUUUUAAAGAAAAAGAAUUUAAAAUUAACAUUGAUUUAAAAAAUCAGUAAGAAAUUACUAUUACAGUAAUGC